rnacentral:rRNA from 1 species
UACGUAGGGAGCAAGCGUUGUCCGGAAUCAUUGGGCGUAAAGCGCGCGUAGGCGGCCCGGUAAGUCCGCUGUAAAAGUCCAGGGCUCAACCCUGGAACGCCGGUGGAUACUGUCGGGCUAGAGUCCGGAAGAGGCGAGUGGAAUUCCUGGUGUAGCGGUGGAAUGCGCAGAUAUCAGGAGGAACACCGAUGGCGAAGGCAGCUCGCUGGGACGGUACUGACGCUGAGGCGCGAAAGCGUGGGGAGCGAACAGG